rnacentral:rRNA from 1 species
AUUGAACGCUGGCGGCAGGCUUAACACAUGCAAGUCGAGCGGUAACAGAGGGAAGCUUGCUUCUCUGCUGACGAGCGGCGGACGGGAGAGUAAUGCCCAGGAAUCUGCCUAGUAGUGAGGGACAACUUGCCGAAAGGUAAGCUAAUACCGCAUACUUCCUACGGGAGAAAGAAUGGGACCUUCGGGCCUUCAGCUAUUCGAUGGUCCUAGGUCGGAUUAGGUAGUUGGUGAGGUAAUGGCUCACCAAGACCGCGAUCCGUAACUGGUCUGAGAGGAUGAUCAGGCACACUGGAACUGAGACACGGUCCAGACUCCUACGGGAGGCAGCAGUGGGGAAUAUUGGACAAUGGGGGGAACCCUGUUCCAGCCAUGCCGCGUGUGUGAAGAAGGUCUUAGGAUUGUAAAGCACUUUAAGUUGGGAGGAAGAGCAGUUAACUAAUAUUUGACUGUUUUGACGUUACCGACAGAAUAAGCACCGGCUAACUUCGUGCCAGCCGCCGCCGUAA